rnacentral:rRNA from 1 species
GAUGAACGCUAGCUGGAGGCUUAAUACAUGCAAGUCGAGCGGGAUUGUCCCAGCAAUGGGAUAUGAGAGCGGCGCACGGGUGAGUAACGCGUACACGACCUACCUCUAACAGGGGGCAUAGCCCUGGGAAACCGGGAUUAAUACCGCAUAUUAUUUGAUAAAUAAAGGUAUCAAAUGAAAGCUGAGGCGGUUAGAGAUGGGUGUGCGUCUGAUUAGCUAGUUGGUAGGGUAACGGCCUACCAAGGCGAUGAUCAGUAGGGGGCGUGAGAGCGUGGUCCCCCGCACGGGUACUGAGACACGGACCGACUCCUACGGGAGGCAGCAGUAAGGAAUAUUGGACAAUGGCCGCAAGGCUGAUCCAGCCAUCCAGCGUGCAGGAAGAAGGCCCCUAUGGGUUGUAAACUGCUUUUGUCAGGGAAUAAACUCCUGCAUUUAUGCGGGACUGAAGGUACCUGAAGAAUAAGCACCGCUAACUCCGUGCCAGCAGCCGCGGUAAUACGGAGGGUGCGAGCGUUAUCCGGAAUUACUGGGUUUAAAGGGUGCGUAGGCGGUACAGUAAGUCAGGAGUGAAAGUUUGCGGCUCAACCGUAAAAAUUGCUUUUUGAUACUGCUGUGCUGGAAUCAGGAUGAGGUC